GAAUCCGCUAAGGAGUGUGUAACAACUCACCUGCCGAAUGGAUUAGCCCUGAAAAUGGAUGGCGCUCAAGCGCGUGGCCGACACCAUGCCGUUGGAAUUAGACAAAAAAAUGUCCAAUGAGUAGGAGGGCGCAGGGGUGCUGGGGAAGUUCAGGCGCAAGCUUGGAUGGAAGCGCCUCUGGUGCAGAUCUUGGUGGUAGUAGCAAAUAUUCAAGCGAGAUCCUUGAAGGGCGAAGUUGGGGAAGGGUUCCACGCGAACAUUGAUUGGACGUGGGUGAGUCGUUCCUAAGCGAGGCGGCAAUGGCGCCGAUGAAAAUCGCGAAAGGGAAGCCGGUUAACAUUCUGGCGCAUGGGCACGGACGUAGUGGUGACACGCAAUCUUUUUGUUUGCAUGAUGGGGUGGGGGCGAGCACGCUGGCGAGCGCCUCGGGCAGAGUUGUCUUUUCUGUUUAAAUUUCUCAAAAAACUUUUGUGGCUGGUGUGGAAGAACGUUACGUUGAGAAACACAGCCCGGGAUGAAGAGCGUUGCGAUUUUUGCAGCGUCCGGAGCGCGCUCGACGGCCCUUGAAAACUCGUUCUCCCAAUAGCUUCUUUUUCUUUUAUUGGAAAGGGCUGAAAGUCCGUGGCAUGGCGUACCGAUAUCCGCAUCAGGUCCCCAGGUCUCAAACACUCUGCUCAAUAUGAAUAAUGCAGGUAAGGGAAGUCGGCA
rnacentral:rRNA from 1 species